UACGUAGGGGGCAAGCGUUGUCCGGAAUCAUUGGGCGUAAAGCGCGUGUAGGCGGUCCGGUAAGUCCGCUGUGAAAGUCGGGGGCUCAACCCUCGGAUGCCGGUGGAUACUGUCGGGCUAGAGUCCGGAAGAGGCGAGUGGAAUUCCCGGUGUAGCGGUGAAAUGCGCAGAUAUCGGGAGGAACACCAAUGGCGAAGGCAGCUCGCUGGGACGGUACUGACGCUGAGACGCGAAAGCGUGGGGAGCAAACAGG
rnacentral:rRNA from 1 species